GCCAAACAUUAAGCCCAGCCAUUCCUACAAAUAUAUUUAAUAUACAAAACAAAUCAUUUGACCAAAAAAGUAUUUGCGAAAGAACCUUUAAGCCGGCGCUACGCUACCGUAAGGGAUAAUUGAAAGAAAAGUGAAACCUUAAGCACAACAAAGCAAAGACUAGCCCUUGUACCUCUUGCAUCAUGAUUUAGCAAGCAACCCCAGACAAAGAGCCCUUAAGCCUGACAUCCCGAAACUACGUGAGUACUCCCGGGCAAUAAAUGAUC
rnacentral:rRNA from 1 species